GCCACGAGGCAAACAAGGCAUUUGCCCUGGGCAUUUGGGGGCGGCUUUUUUUGCCGUCCCCAAAUGCCCAGGGCAAAUGCCUUGUUAGCCUUGUGGCUAAC
rnacentral:miRNA from 1 species